rnacentral:rRNA from 1 species
UGGCGGACGGGUGAGUAACGCGUGGGGAACCUGCCCUGUACAGGGGGAUAACACUUAGAAAUAGGUGCUAAUACCGCAUAAGCGCACAGUAUCGCAUGAUACAGUGUGAAAAACUCCGGUGGUACAGGAUAGACCCGCGUCUGAUUAGCUGGUUGGCGGGGUAACGGCCCACCAAGGCGACGAUCAGUAGCCGGCCUGAGAGGGUGAACGGCCACAUUGGGACUGAGACACGGCCCAAACUCCUACGGGAGGCAGCAG